GAUGAACGCUGGCGGCGUGCCUAAUACAUGCAAGUCGAGCGAACGGACGAGAAGCUUGCUUCUCUGAUGUUAGCGGCGGACGGGUGAGUAACACGUGGAUAACCUACCUAUAAGACUGGGAUAACUUCGGGAAACCGGAGCUAAUACCGGAUAAUAUUAUGAACCGCAUGGUUCAAAAGUGAAAGACGGUCUUGCUGUCACUUAUAGAUGGAUCCGCGCUGCAUUAGCUAGUUGGUAAGGUAACGGCUUACCAAGGCAACGAUGCAUAGCCGACCUAAGAGGGUGAUCGGCCACACUGGAACUGAGACACGGUCCAGACUCCUACGGGAGGCAGCAGUAGGGAAUCUUCCGCAAUGGGCGAAAGCCUGACGGAGCAACGCCGCGUGAGUGAUGAAGGUCUUCGGAUCGUAAAACUCUGUUAUUAGGGAAGAACAUAUGUGUAAGUAACUGUGCACAUCUUGACGGUACCUAAUCAGAAAGCCACGGCUAACUACGUG
rnacentral:rRNA from 1 species